AACGAACGCUGGCGGCAGGCUUAACACAUGCAAGUCGAACGCCCCGCAAGGGGAGUGGCAGACGGGUGAGUAACGCGUGGGAACGUACCUUUCGCUUCGGAAUAGUCCCGGGAAACUGGGUUUAAUGCCGGAUACGCCGUAUUGGGAAAGAUUUAUCGGCGAAAGAUCGGCCCGCGUUAGAUUAGCUAGUUGGCGGUGUAAUGGACCACCAAGGCUACGAUCUAUAGCUGGUCUGAGAGGAUGAUCAGCCACACUGGGACUGAGACACGGCCCAGACUCCUACGGGAGGCAGCAGUGGGGAAUCUUGGACAAUGGGCGCAAGCCUGAUCCAGCCAUGCCGCGUGAGUGAAGAAGGCCUUAGGGUUGUAAAACUCUUUCGCCGGAGAAGAUAAUGACGGUAUCCGGAGAAGAAGCCCCGGCUAACUUCGUGC
rnacentral:rRNA from 1 species